rnacentral:sRNA from 1 species
AUUUCGCGUUAGGGAUUGAAGCGCCAUCCUUUUUUGUUUUUCGCAAAAAAGAUAUAGCGAAAAGCCCGACCCUUU